rnacentral:rRNA from 1 species
GGCAAGUCUGGUGCCAGCAGCGCAAAAGACAAGCUCCAUAGCGUAAUAAAGUUGUUGCAGUUAAAAAGUUCGUAGUUGAAUUUCGGGAUUAGUAGGCUGGUUAUGAACUGGACUCUGCCGGGUCAUGUACUGGUCUUACUAAUUCCUCCUUCCUGAUGAACUGUAGUGCCAUUAAUUUGGUGUUGCAGGGAAUCUGGACUGUUACUUUGAAAAAAUUAGAGUGUUUAAAGCAGGC